ACUCCUACGGGAGGCAGCAGUGAGGAAUAUUGGUCAAUGGGCGGAAGCCUGAACCAGCCAUGCCGCGUGAAGGAAUGAGGCCCUAUGGGUCGUAAACUUCUUUUGUAUGCGAGCAAUAAGGUCCACGCGUGGUCCGAUGAGAGUAGCGUACGAAUAAGCAUCGGCUAACUCCGUGCCAGCAGCCGCGGUAA
rnacentral:rRNA from 1 species